GUGUUCACUUCGACAUCACAUGUACGAAAAUUGGAAUGAUACAGAGAAGAUUAGCAUGGCCCCUGCGCAAGGAUGACACGCCAAGUCAUGAAGCAUGCCAUAGUUUC
ensembl:snRNA U6 U6 spliceosomal RNA